UACAGAGGUGGCAAGCGUUGUUCGGAAUUACUGGGCGUAAAGGGCGCGUAGGCGGCCCACUAAGUCAGACGUGAAAUCCCCCGGCUUAACCUGGGAACUGCGUCUGAUACUGGAGGGCUUGAGUAUGGGAGAGGGAUGUAGAAUUCCAGGUGUAGCGGUGAAAUGCGUAGAUAUCGAGAGGAACACCUGCGGCGAAGGCGGGUUGCUGGGCUGAUACUGACGCUGAGGCGCGAAAGCCAGGGGAGCGAACGGG
rnacentral:rRNA from 1 species